rnacentral:rRNA from 1 species
CACGGGGGUUGGAGGGCAAGUCUGGUGCCAGCAGCCGCGGUAAUUCCAGCUCCAAUAGCGUAUAUUAAAGUUGUUGCAGUUAAAAAGCUCGUAGUUGAAUUUCGGGGUUAGUAGGUUGGUCAUGCCUCUGGUAUGUACUGGUCUCACUGAUUCCUCCUUCCUUAUGAACCGUAAUGCCAUUAAUUUGGUGUUGCGGGGAAUUUGGACUGUUACUUUGAAAAAAUUAGAGUGUUUAAAGCAAGCUAACGCUUGAAUACAUUAGCAUGGAAUAAUGAAAUAGGACGUUCGAUCUUAUUUUGUUGGUUUCUAGGAUUGACGUAAUGAUUAAUAGGGAUAGUUGGGGGCAUUAGUAUUCAAUUGUCAGAGGUGAAAUUCUUGGAUUUAUUGAAGACUAACUACUGCGAAAGCAUUUGCCAAGGAUGUUUUCAUUAAUCAAGAACGAAAGUUAGGGGAUCGAAGACGAUCAGAUACCGUC